rnacentral:sRNA from 2 species
GAGUCCGCGCGGGAGCAUCCGGCUAUGAUCAGUUGGUAUAUGGACGCGAGCUCGGCUAAUUAUCUCUGCAUAUAUGGACCCAGCCCAUCCUAAAACAUAUAGAGAACGCGCGAAUAUCGUCUCUCCCGGGUCAGUACCCCGAGCGAACGUCUUCAUAUUGAAUGUCAACAAUGAGGUGGUGCAGUGUACUGCGGUCGGGGCAAAGGAUGGCCACGAAGAAGAGGACUGACUAGUCACUUUUGACAGCAAGUUCAAGAAUUGAAGAAUCUAUGCUCUGCCGUAGGUUCACAGGGAGUCAGUCCAGGGUUACGAUCUCCCAGAAACUUAUUAAAAAACUUCGCCAAUAGAUCGAGGUCGUUUCUCCUAUCAUUCCCCAGGAUGGGGCCACCAAAUUUGAGGUGUCCGAGGAACUGAAGGAAAACAAGUCACUUACACUUUUUACAACAAGACCUCAUGCUCUGAAACCCGAGCCCGGCGCAUGAGAUGGUGGUUUUUUUUAAGUUCUUGAAGCCUUUCCGGACCACUGAGCCAGAGUGCCGACCACACCUCCCGGGGAGACUGGAGACUCUGGAGUCCGUCUGACAUGCCAUUAGAUAUAUAGAUGGUUUCGAGGUCUUUAGAACGGACCAAGGCACGGGAUUCACAAACUCCAAUUCUGUCUGUACUAGCAUCCCGGGUGGGCCAUCGCGGGAGGGCGUGUGCAGAGAAGCGCUGUAUUGGUUGAUGAGUUGAUAUUCAUUUAAUAAUACUUACUUUCCUAGAAACAUAUCACAUCAUAAUAUAUGACGUAUAUUGCAUAUCUAAAGAUAGGAUACAAAUUCCAUCUGAGCGGCGUGAUACUGUUGUUCAAGGACUCGCGAGGCCCCAAUGUUCUUCGAAUAUAUUGAAAACGGCUCGUUCAAAAAUGGUGGAUUGGGUUAUCUAUAUGACAAAAAAGUGGAUCUUAAAAAUAAAUAAGUACA